rfam:Triticum aestivum genome assembly, contig: Triticum_aestivum_CS42_TGACv1_scaffold_374233_5AL
AUUAUAAUCCCUCCGUCCAAAAAUACUUGUCAUCAAAAUGAACAAAAAGGAAUGUAUCUAGAACUAGAAUAUAUUUAGAUACAUCCUCUUUUAUUCAUUUUGAUGAUAAGUAUUUCCGAAUGGAGGGAGUACAAA